UGUCUCGGGACAGAGGUAGGCCUUAUGAACGUGGAUCAGGGAGAAUUUGUGCUAUGAAAGACUGUACAAAUAGCCAGAGAAAUCUACGUAUAUGGAAGGAAUUGCCCUGUACAGUCCAUAAACUGCCACGGAAGGACUGCCCUUGUUUGUUUCCCUAUCAUCUCCAUAGGUUUCCUGUGAAUGAAGAUCGUCGUCGUGUUUGGGUGUCACGUGUUAAUCGGAAGGAUUUUCACCCAUCUGAUAGCAGUGUGAUAUGCUCAAUUCAUUUUUUGGAUGGCCAUCCAAGCAAACAAAAUCCUGAUCCAGUCUUAAAUUUGGGAUAUCAAAGAAAGGUGACACAAGGGAGAAGGACCAUUUUCCGACACCCCUCUCUGAUGUUUCUCGGACCCCAAGGAGCAAUCAACUGACUGAGGAGUGCCAUGCUGAAGCUGAACUGACAGAUCAACCUGUAUCUCAAGCUGAAGAGAAGGAAAAGGAGAAUGAUGACUCCAGACCAAGUGAUUGUGACUGUUGUAAACAGAAGUCUUGUUUUUGUCUUCACAGACCUAUGAUAAAAGUUCCAAACAGAACUGUAGGAGUACAGGUUCAUUUUAACAAGUCAGUAGAUCACCAUUAUGCAACCCAGCACUACACGACCAAAACAAAGAAUGUCUCUGUUCAGGUUAAUUUUCCUGCCUUUUCUGCAGACAGUAUUAAGACUAACACUGAUUCUGUGUUUUACACUGGUCUUACUCUACAAGUGUUUCUGUCAAUAAUAACUUAUCUUACAUCUGUACUGCGGUCAAACAUUAAGAUGCCACUCUCAGAUCAAACACUACUCACACUUAUGAGACUUAGGCUUGGAAUUCAGUUUCAUGAUCUCGGGAGAAGAUUUUCAAUUUCCACGCAAUUAGCAAGUAAAAUUUUUGGAAUUUGUAUCUCAAUUUUAGCCAGAAAGCUAAAGGAUUGCAUUGUUUGGCUCCCAAGAGAUGUUAUUAGAUCUGCAAUGCCAAUGUCCUUUAAGACUACCUAUCCACACACUACCUGCAUUAUUGACUGUACAGAAAUGUUCUUGCAACGUCCAUUUUCAUUGAAGGUUAGAGCUCAAACCU